AUUGAACGCUGGCGGCAUGCCUUACACAUGCAAGUCGAACGGUAACAGGUCUUCGGAUGCUGACGAGUGGCGAACGGGUGAGUAAUACAUCGGAACGUGCCUAGUAGUGGGGGAUAACUACUCGAAAGAGUGGCUAAUACCGCAUGAGAUCUACGGAUGAAAGCAGGGGAUCGCAAGACCUUGUGCUACUAGAGCGGCCGAUGGCAGCUUAGGUAGUUGGUGGGAUAAAAGCUUACCAAGCCGACGAUCUGUAGCUGGUCUGAGAGGACGAUCAGCACCACUGGGACUGAGACACGGCCCAGACUCCCACGGGAGGCAGCAGUGGGGUAUUUUGGACAAUGGGCGCAAGCCUGAUCCAGCAAUGCAGCGUGCAGGAUGAAGGCCUUCGGGUUGUAAACUGCUUUUGUACGGAACGAAAAGCCCUGGGUUAAUACCCUGGGGUCAUGACGGUACCGUAAGAAUAAGCACCGGCUAACUACGUGCCAGCCGCCGCAGUAACAC
rnacentral:rRNA from 1 species